AUUCACCGUCUUGUUAAGAAAGAGAAAAGAAUAAGUAAUUGCUCUUUAAUUUUUUUGUCUUUUCAAGUAUCCGGAGUGUGAUGCAGAAAUAUCUCGAAGAAAGAGGUGAAUUAACUUUUGACAAGAUUUUCAAUCAGAAGAUUGGAUUUUUGCUUUUUAAAGAUUAUUGUAUGAAUGAAAUUGAUGAAGCAGUCCCUCAACUGAAAUUUUAUGAGGAGAUAAAAGAAUAUGAAAAACUAGAUUCUGAGGAGGAACGUCUUAGUAGGAGUCGGCAAAUUUAUGACACAUACAUAAUGAAAGAGCUGCUGUCGUGCUCACAUCCAUUCUCAAAGCAAGCUGUAGAUCAUGUACAAACUCACCUAGCCAAGAAACAAGUGCCACCAACUCUUUUUCAGCCAUACAUAGAAGAAAUUUGUGAUAGUCUCCGUGGAAAAAUAUUUCUAAAAUUUAUGGAAAGUGACAAGUUUACUAGAUUUUGUCAAUGGAAAAACGUAGAACUAAAUAUUCAUCUGACCAUGAAUGACUUUAGUGUACAUAGAAUAAUUGGACGAGGGGGAUUUGGUGAAGUAUAUGGUUGCAGAAAAGCAGACACUGGAAAAAUGUAUGCAAUGAAAUGUUUAGAUAAGAAGAGAAUCAAGAUGAAGCAAGGAGAAACAUUAGCCUUAAAUGAAAGAAUUAUGCUGUCACUAGUCAGUACUGGAGACUGCCCUUUUAUAGUGUGCAUGACCUAUGCCUUCCACACCCCUGACAAACUCUGCUUCAUUCUAGACCUGAUGAAUGGGGGAGAUUUGCACUACCACCUCUCACAGCAUGGGGUGUUUUCUGAGAAGGAGAUGAGAUUUUAUGCCACUGAAAUCAUCCUGGGGUUAGAACACAUGCACAAUCGAUUUGUUGUAUACAGAGACUUGAAGCCUGCUAACAUCCUACUGGAUGAGCACGGACAUGUAAGGAUAUCAGAUCUUGGCCUUGCUUGUGAUUUUUCCAAAAAGAAACCACAUGCUAGUGUUGGUACCCAUGGAUAUAUGGCUCCUGAGGUGCUUCAGAAGGGAACAGCAUAUGACAGCAGUGCAGAUUGGUUCUCUUUAGGCUGUAUGCUUUUCAAACUUCUGAGAGGUCACAGUCCUUUCAGACAGCACAAAACCAAAGACAAGCAUGAGAUUGACCGGAUGACGCUCACCGUGAAUGUGGAGUUACCAGAUUCAUUUUCUCCUGAACUAAAGUCCCUUUUGGAAGGGCUCCUGCAACGCGAUGUUAGCAAGAGGCUUGGCUGUCAGGGUAGCAGUGCGCAAGAAGUAAAAGAGCACCAUUUUUUCAAAGGGAUUGAUUGGCAGCAAGUCUGCUUACAAAAGUAUCCUCCACCACUGGUUCCACCCCGGGGAGAAGUAAAUGCAGCAGAUGCUUUUGAUAUUGGCUCCUUUGAUGAAGAGGACACUAAAGGCAUUAAGUUGGUGGAUAGUGACCAAGAAUUGUAUAAGAACUUUCCUCUGGUAAUAUCAGAGCGUUGGCAGCAAGAAGUAGCCGAAACUGUUUACGAUACAGUAAAUGCAGACACCGAUAAAAUUGAGGCCAGGAAGAAGGCUAAAAAUAAGCAACUGGGCCAUGAGGAAGAUUAUGCACUAGGGAAGGACUGCAUUAUGCAUGGGUACAUGUUGAAACUCGGGAAUCCAUUCUUGACUCAGUGGCAACGUCGUUACUUUUACCUCUUUCCAAACCGACUCGAAUGGCGAGGAGAAGGAGAAUCAAGGGAGACAGGACACCCAGAUGAGACCUGCCAUCCCCUUCCAAAAGUGGGUCGCCAUUGCCAUCUGAAAGCUCACCACACCAGACAGCUACUGCUCCAUUGGGAACCAGUUCAGCAUGGGGAGAUCAACAGUUGGGGCCCUGGUCAUGCAGCAAAAUCUACUGACUAUGGAACAGAUCAUCUCAGUGGAAGAAACUCAGAUUAAAGAUAAGAAGUGCAUCUUGCUGAGAAUUAAAGGAGGAAAACAAUUUGUCCUGCAGUGUGAGAGUGAUCCAGAGUUUGUUCAGUGGAAAAAAGAACUGACAGAAACCUUUACUGAGGCACAGAGGCUGCUGCGUCGUGCUCCAAAGUUUCUUAAUAAAUCUCGCUCCACAGUUGUAAAUGUAGAGCUUUCAAAGCCACCACUCAGCCAUAGGAAUAGCAAUGGUCUGUAGAAGAGAUGAGAGGACAAAAGUUACUUAGGGAAAGCUACUGCAUCACUAUACAUGAAGGCCACAGAAUCAUUUUGAGUUACUUGUACAAUCCCUGAACCGGGAUGUGCUUCGAAGAAGCAGCUUUGAAUGUUUACAGCAUGGGAAGAUGACUAGACUCUACACCUGGAGGUUGUGAAGCCUAAAGCUAUGACAAGAUGAAUUCUCACUAAUAGCAGUAAUGAAAGUUGCCAAAUGUAGAGGCUGCUUAUCAUUCCCAUGCAUCGUCACACCGUAGUGGUGUUCAAAUGAUCUGUUAUCCUAGAACUUUGAAAGGAAGGAAGAUAAUCUGUUCUUUGCAAUACCCUUGUUUUGGUAGGUACCAAACCUGGAAACUGAAAUGGUUGCUAAUCUUUAUCAUUUACAUUUUGAUGUCUGUUACUGACAUACCCCAGACUUUGGAAGGAACCGCAAAUUUGUCAUAUGGGAUAACAGGUAAUCUUAUCUGUUGGCUUGUUCUUUCCAGCCAUAACUAUUGACUUUAAUAUAUUCUGCUCCAUACUGCUGGUGAUCAACAGUGUGUGACUUAUGCACUUCAAAGUACUAAUUUCCAACUGUCCUGUGGUUUGAAUGUUGUUGAUACUUCAUGGAAGCAUUGAACUCAGAUUAUUCACUUGCUUUGUUGUACUCACUAAUAGUAGCUACCACUGUUUUGCUUCUUUUACCUAUAUAAAAACUGUAACUGACACAAUAGAGUAAUAAUUGUUGAAGAGGAAUAUAUGGUAGCUUCAUCUAGUGAUCUGUUGUAUAAAUUGACUAUUUUAGCACAGUUUUUAAACAGUAGAUUCCUUUUUACAAGUUUACAGUGAAUACAUAGACAGUUCUUUUUCCAUGUCAACUCACUGCACUUUUUAAAAAUUAAAAAAUUCUGCAAAUACACUGCAUACCGGUGCAGAUUUUGGAUUAUGUAUGGGUAAUAGGUAUGUAUUUUUUUUGUAUCAAUCCUCAGUUGUUGGACUCAUGGUCCCCUUCUUGUUUUGUUUUGUUUUGUUUUUUUAAGUAGUGGGUUCUCCUACCAAACCUUUAUUUUAGCCAUGCACUUAAUAUUCACAUGCACAUCAGAUGACAGGAAUUGCAAAAAUAUGUGCUAAUUUCCCUUUAUAGAGAAUUCAGACAUUCACACUGAAAACAGUCUGAGAAUAUUGAAGAUGAAAAUGAUUAAAAUAAGACGAUGGUGUGCCAAAUUUAUGUAAAUUCUUAUGUCAUCAUUCGUAUGUCUUAUGUAAGGCAACACUAUAUAGAAGUAAAAAUAUAGAACAUAAUCUUUGGACAACUUUGAACAUUUCAAGAUAAUUUUUACCCUAUUAUGCAUAUUGAAAGUCAUAUAGAAUAUAAUAGGUUUUCAGAGAGGUAGCUAUGUUUUUUGCAAAAGGUAUAAACCAGAGGAGAACUUGAGCCUUUAUCUAUUUCUGAAUUACAUUGUUUGGUGUGGGUCACAUUCUGCUGGGUACAACUCUCAUUGAACCUGUGUAAAUGGGAGCAGAAUUUGCAUCAGCAAUCUGUCUUGUCCUUUAUUUCUAGCUUGUCUGACUAACAGUCAAUAACAGAACUUCAGAACUGUUUCAUAGACAGCAAAGUGCCAAACACUCCAGAAUUCUUUUAGAAAAAUCCUCUCUUUGUCCUCCACAUUCUUGUGAAAUUGGGUGCAUUAGCUAUUAAAAUUGGGAGCGGCUUAAUAACUGAACAGCAUGCACUCUGGUUAGGGAUGUGAAAUACCAGUUAAAGGGAAAGUAAGGGGAGGGAGGGGCUACUCCAGCCACCUUUGUUGAGCUAGAACAUCCCACCUGCUUGAGGCAGGGGCUGCAGCUGCCAGGCUGGAGCAGCUCCUGCCUGCGGGGUGCCUGGGCCCACUGCAGGCAUGGGCUGCUCCAGUCUGGCUAGAGCAGCCCCUGUCUGCAGCAGGCCCUCUGUUAAAGGUGAGGCUUACUGGUUACCCAGUUAAGUAUUUGCAUCCCAAACUCUGACCACAACACCAUUUCUUACAUACUUUGAUAUAGUGUGAAGAAGAAACUGAAUUAAAAUAUUUUAUCCUUGGUAAGUGUUCAUUUUAAAAGAAUAUUUACCCAUUCAUUUUCUUGGUUUAUUUUUUAAAAUGAACAUGGAGUUCCAUUUUUAUCUACUGAAAAGUAAUAAUUUAAGUCCAGGUAUAUUUCUAUAAGCAGUACCUGUGGUAUUUUCCUAAACUCAUGCCCCUGGUAGUACACUAGAUAUUUUUUCAUUGUUUACCUUAAAAAACACACACAGACACAUGUACUCUGAUUUGUGAUUUGAAUAAAAAGAAAGCUGAAUCUAUGAUAAAACCACUCUGAAAAGCCCUUCUGUCUUAAUCUAUUAAUGUUUUCAUGUUUUAUUAAUUCAAGGUCAAUUUGUUCACUUGUAAUUAUUUUCUGUAAUAGAAUUUUUCUGUCAUAAUAAUCUUUGAGAACAUUUGUGGAUCUAUUGUUUUGAUUUUCACAAUAUUACAUUCUUAAAAUACUAGUUUCUGUAGAUAACAGGAAGAUACAUCUUCAGUGAAAAUGUGUUCUGCUAAAACGUUCAUUUCUUUAAAUCAAGUCUAUGUAAUAACUUGUGGAUGAUAUGUUUAUUUAUAAAAUUAAAUUACAAAUUAGAGUCAUUUUGACACUUGAACAUGCUGUGGUUUUGUACAUUAUCACCUCAUUUUUAUAAACUAUUUGAAAUUAUCUGGAUUUUUAUUUUUAAAAUGGAAACUAAAAUCAACUGUCAUUUAAAAUGUACCCCAUUCCCUUUGAUAAUUGCGGAUAGAAGUCAAAUACUAAUAUAAAUCUAUCAAUAUUUACUUCCAGUUUUUUUUUUUUUU